rnacentral:lncRNA from 1 species
ACCCACAAUAAAUAAGUUUAUUAAUUUCAUCCAUGAAUAAUAACCCGAUUACCCGUUCCCGUUAUCCUCACUUUACGUCCCUAAACACCUAUCAUAAGGGACCUAGCCUAAGGAUCAUUAUCGGGACGGACACUACUGCUAAGGGGAUUCCUCAGCAAUAAAUGUCCUAAAGGCAACCAUGUGGGGGAUGGAGUACACCGGUGAACACAUCGUUCACAAACACCUACAGGUUGCGAGCCUGCUAGUGUUCCAAUGGACUGUCUAGAAGAGUCUGUGGUCGUCAUCCAUACUCCACUGGAUGACAAAAUCAACAACACCAACAUCGAGGCCUCUCAUCAUUUUAUCACACAUCACCUAUUACAUCUACCCAUGUUUUACCCCAACAUUUUCGUAGAUAUAAAAUACAUAUACAGUUUAAAUCAUUGAAAACAUGUAUAACAACGUUCAUCUAGCAUAGAUAGCAAGUAUUCAGAUAAUAUGCACACAUAGCACGUAAUUUAUAUAAAAUACUUCAUAUCUAUGUGUAAGUUGAAAGUAACUAUGCACUCACUUGUUAAGGUGAUGAUUCCAAAAUCGGGCAGCGCUUGCUUCUAACGAUUCUAUUUUCCUUCGACGAAACCUAGCAUUAUUAUCGCUAAAUUUUAGUCUAAUAUUUACCGUGACCAACUAUUAGUCUUAGUAUUAUUAUUAUUAUAUAAGCGUUAAACAAUAUUUUCCAACCACUAUGUACAGACAGGGGCCAGACAUAAAACACCGGAGGGCAGGACCAUUUUGGCAUAUAGCACUUCUGAAAUCCAACAACCCUAUGCGGCCCUUUAAACCAGAUUCCCCGUACCGCGAGUAGUUAAAAAAAAUAUUAUAACGACACUUAUAUAAGUUAUAAUAAUAGCUCAAAUAUUUAUUAUAAGUUCAUAAUAACAAUACUAAUUUUAAAUAUAAGCUAUAUUAAAAUAAGGUAAGCAUAACUUACUUACAAGGGGGUUUUAGCUAGGAGUCGGGCUCUGCAGGGGCAGAACUUCGUCGCUGAAUCUUUCUAAGAAAGAUUCGUGCAGCGCUUCAGCGCUCACCUUACUAUACUAAGCUACAGAAAGAGAAGUCGAAUCACGAGGGACCGAAAUGCUCGGGGGAUAAGGAGAGAAAGACUCUUGAAUCAAGAGAAUGGUGCAAGAAAUAUGAGAGCCCAAGGCUCUUAUUUAUACUAAUUGAAUUUUCAAAAACUACCCUCCAUAAUUACUUAAUGACCUUUUAGUUAUAUAAACAACUAAACACCCCUCUAUAAUACUAUUAUAAAUGGAUUUAAUGAUAUUUGUACUAAACUAAUGUCGAAAGAACUCAACAUUAGUCUUAUAAUGACCGCAUCGUCGAUACCUUUCUAAUGAUAUAUACAUAUGUAUAUAUAUGUGUACGUAUACAUGAUUUAUACUUUAUUUUAAUACGUAAAUAUGCUAUUAUAAUUUGUAACUCGUUCAUACGAACUCCGUUUUUGACGUUCUUUAUAUCCACGCGUAGGUGAAGACGUACUCUACAACUUUCGUUUAGACUCCGUCGGCUAAUUUUGACUUUAUUUUUAAAGUUAUAUUUUUAACAAGCCGGGACAGGAUUGGUCUGUUUAAAAUCUCAUAACUUCUUCAUACGAAGUCAGAUUUGGGCGUUCUUUUUAUCGAUGUUCUUAGUUUAACAUAUUCUACGACUUUCGUUUAGAUCACUAAGGCUAAAUCUCGCUCUAUCGUAAAUUCACUAUUCACGCUUCCCGGUAUCGUGCCGGUUCUGUCGUGAAACUUCGACGGGUCAUAACUUCUUCGUUAUAACUCGGAUUUCGGCGUUCCUUAUAUGCACGGAAACCUUGAGACAUAUUCUACAACUUUAUGUAGAGAUAUCGGGAUUAUCUCACACUUUAAUUUUGACGCUCAUUUUUAUUCUUUAUUAAUUAUACAUUUAUAAUUAAAUAAUAAACACAUAUAAUUCACAUAAUACUCAAAUAUUUCAUCUUUAUUACUUCAAAAAGAGUUACAAGAGUUGACCUAGACUAUUACAUUGACAAAAAUGCUUAGCCCUGAAACCCGGGCGUUACAAUUCUCUCCCCCUUAGGAUGAUUCCGUCCCGGAAUCAUGCAUCAGCAAACAGAUGUGGAUAGCGACUCAUCAUGUCAUCCUCUGUUUCCCAAGUGAGAUUCGGCCCAUUCGAAUGUUUCCAUCGGACUAGCACCAAGUCGACCAUCUUGCGUCGUAACUUCUUAGUCUUACGGUCAACAAUUGCCUCAGGCUCUUCGAUCAACCUUUUAUUUUCAUCCAUCCUUAACUCUGAGAUUGGAAUUAUGUCGGGAACAUCUCCCGUGAAUUUCCUCAAAUAACACACAUGGAAGGUGUUAUGAAUACCAUUGAGUUCUUCGGGCAAUUCCAGCUUGUAAGCUUGGUUCCCUAUCUUCUGAAGAACUUUGAACGGUCCAAUAAACCUUGGACUCAACUUUCCUCGUUUCCCAAAUCGUAUAAGUCCCUUCCACGGUGAGACUUUAAGCAAAACGGAAUCCCCAACUUCGAAAGUUAUCGGUCGUCUUUUCUUGUCAGCAUAGCUCUUCUGACGAUCCUGGGCUGCUAACAUCCUUUCCCUAAUCACCUUCAACUUCUCAGCAGUCUCAUGGACUAUCUCGGGGCCCAUAAACUGCUUCUCUCCGGCUUCAAGCCAACAAGACGGCGUACGACACUUCUGCCCAUACAAGGCUUGAUAAGGAGCCAUCUUGAUGCUCGAGUGAAAACUAUUGUUGUAGGAAAAUUCUACCAGAGGUAAGUGCUCGUCCCAAUUCCCUUGGAAUUCGAGGGUACAUGCUCUCAGCAUAUCUUCCAGCGUCUGAAUCGUUCUUUCGCUCUGACCAUCAGUUUGCGGAUGAUAAGCAGUACUCAAACACAACUUUGUACCUAACUCCUCUUGUAGACUCCUCCAAAACCUUGACGUGAAACGACUAUCACGAUCUGAUACAAUCGUAAGAGGGACACCGUGAAGUCUUACAAUUUCCUUCACGUAAGCAUUUGCGAGCUUAUCCAUAGACCACUUCUCGUUGGCUGCUAUGAAGUGUGCACUCUUGGUGAAACGAUCCACGACUACCCAAAUCAUGUCGUGACCGUUCUUCGUCCUGGGCAGUUUAGUCACAAAAUCCAUGGUGAUGUCUUCCCAUUUACCCAUGGGUACAGGUAAAGGUUCUAAACUCCCAUACGGUUUCUGAUGUUGUGCCUUAACCCUCGCACAUGUUACGCACUCGGCCACAUACUUCGCAACAUCGAGCUUCAUCGUCGGCCACCAGUAGUAGGGUUUUAGGUCCCUAUACAUUUUAGUGCUACCGGGAUGAAUCGAGUACAUGGUCUUGUGUGCUUCUUCCAUCAGAAGAUCUCUUAUUCCUCCCGUCUUAGGUACCCAAAUUCGAUCUUGGAAUACCUUCAGUCCUCGACUGUUUGUACCAAACACUAACGUUCUUCCCAAACGUUCUUCCUUUCGGUCAUUUUUCUCUAAAGCUUCUUCUUGAGCUUUCCUGAUACUUUCCACAAUCGUCGAGACGACUUCAAUUCUUAACGCUCUUGGCCUUUUCCUUUCCAGAUUGACUUUCCGACUGAGAGCAUCAGCAACAAUAUUUGCUUUACCUGGGUGGUAAAGUAUCUCACAGUCGUAGUCCUUGAGAAGUUCUAGCCAGCGUCGUUGCCUCAUGUUCAACUCCUUCUGAUUAAAGAGAUACUGGAGACUCUUAUGAUCAGUGAAGAGCUUGCACUUCGUGCCGUAGAGGUAAUGCCUCCAUAUCUUUAAGGCAAAAACUACCGCUGCCAACUCCAGAUCAUGAGUGGGGUAGUUCUUUUCGUGCUCUUUCAAUUGUCGAGAUGCGUAUGCUAUCACCUUUUCUCUUUGGGUCAGAACACAACCCAACCCGACUCCAGAAGCGUCACUAUAAACCGCGAAAUCUUCGACUCCAUCGGGUAGAGAAAGUAUCGGUGCUUCACAUAACUUCUUCUUUAGCUUCUCGAAUGCCUCAUCGUGUUUCUCACUCCACGUAUACGUAGCUCCUUUAUGAGUCAAAGCUGUUAAUGGAGCAGCUAUCGAAGAAAAGCCUUGGAUAAAUCGUCGAUAAUAUCCGGCUAAUCCUAGAAAGCUUCGAAUCUCCGUGGGACUCUUUGGACGUUCCCACUUCAUUACAGCCUCGAUCUUUGCGGGGUCAACCAUUAUUCCCUCCUGGUUAACAACAUGACCCAAGAAUUGGACUUCCCGUAUCCAAAAGUCGCAUUUGGAGAACUUUGCAAAAAGCUUCUCCUUCUUCAACACUUCUAAUACUUCCCGUAGAUGCUUGCCAUGCUCCUCUUGGCUUUUCGAGUAGAUGAGAAUGUCGUCGAUGAACACUAUCACGGAUUUAUCGAGGAAUGGUUUACAAACCCUAUUCAUCAAAUCCAUGAAUGCUGCGGGAGCAUUGGUUAGCCCGAAUGACAUAACCAAGAACUCGUAGUGUCCAUAUCUCGUUCUGAAUGCAGUCUUCUCAAUAUCCUGCUUUCUCACCUUUAGCUGAUGAUAUCCUGACCUAAGAUCGAUCUUUGAGAAGUAGCUCGAACCUUGCAGCUGAUCGAAUAGGUCAUCAAUCCUCGGCAAUGGAUACUUGUUCUUCACCGUUGCCUUAUUCAGCUCUCGGUAGUCUAUACACAUUCUCAUACUUCCGUCCUUCUUCUUCACGAAUAACACCGGAGCUCCCCAGGGUGAUGAACUAGGUCGAAUAAAACCGUUGUCCAACAGCUCCUGAAGUUGCGUCAUGAGCUCCUUCAUCUCCGUCGGUGCUAAUCGGUAAGGUGCCUUUGCUAUCGGUGUUGUUCCUGGUAACAAGUCUAUACGAAACUCCACUUGUCUAUCAGGUGGUAAUCCGGGAAGAUCUUCGGGAAAGACUUCCGGAUAAUCGCACACAACUGGUAUAUUCUGCACCUCUUUCUUUUCCUUCUUAGCAUCGAUUACGAAUGCCAAGUAUGAUGCACAUCCUUUGGACAAACAUUUCCUGGCUUUCAUCAGGGAGAUGAUUCCAGAAUUCACUCUGCGUUUGUCCCCGUACACCAUAAAUGAUUCCUUUCCGGGUGGGUUCACCCUUACUAUCUUCUUUCGACAUUGAAUCUCAGCAUCGUUGGCGCUAAGCCAAUCCAUACCCAAAACGAUGUCGAAACCGUUUAACUCUAUGGGUAAUAGCUCUUCGUGGAAUUCGUUUCCGUUUAGGUCGAUGACGAUGUUCCUAAUACGAUCACUAACAGGUACGAAUUUGCCACUGACAACUUCUACAAUCAGGGCAUUAUCAAGUUUUUCUACAGGCAAUGCUAAUUUCCCACAAAAUUUAUGCGACACAAAGGAGUAGUUGGCUCCCGAAUCAAAUAGUAUAUUUGCAGGCAAACCAUUUACAAGAAAGGUACCUGAAACGACGUCUACUGCCUCCUUCGUAGCCUCGAGCGUCAUCUGGAAGGCUCUCGCCUUCGGAUUUGGUGGUAUGUUGGGUCUUCCUGCCUCCUUCUUCUUCGGGCAAUCCUUUGAAAUGUGCCCCUCCUCGUUGCACUCAUAACAGACCUUCUUAGUGAACGUGCAUUCGUUGGCGUAGUGCCCAGGCUUUCCGCAUUUGAAACAAGUGACCCCUUCGUCACACUUUCCAGAGUGCUUCUUCUUGCACUUGUCACACCACUUCGCUUCUGAUCCUCCUCCUCUCAAACCAGACUUCGAGAAUCUACUCUUCUUGUUAGACUUCGAGGAUCCAUCAAACUUCCGUUUCUCACCAACCUCAGCCCUUUCCAGACCUCUUUCCUUUUGUUGGGUCUCCACAUUCUUAGCUGCCAAGAUGGCGGCUUUCAGAGUGGUAUUUUGCUUGACCAUUGGACAAAAGUCCGCUGAUAAUCCGAGGGCAAAUUUGUUAAACUUGGAGAGUUCAGUUGGGACGAGGUGAGGAACAAGCUUCAUUUUCUCAGUAAAGCUUGUAGCGUAUUCAGUAACGUUCAUGCUAGUACUAAAGGUGAAUUUAGAUCUUUAUUUAGGAUAAACGUUUAAAUCGUCCUUAUCACUCCGAAACGUUUACAUGCUAGUUCUAAUAUCGUAGUCGUACGUUUAGAAUCCUAAACACAUAAGGUUUCCAGAUCCGGUCGGCAACAGACCAUAGAUCCGAACAAAUAACAGUAUAUCAUGCACAAAGCAUUUAGCACAUAAAAGCAUUUUAGGCACAAUUCCUAAAAUAAGCUAGUGCUCACACCUCACAAUCAUCGCUUAGCAUUCUAAGUUUAAGUCUAGAAAUCCUACAAAUUCCUAGUUCGCUUAAACUAAUGCUCUGAUACCAACUGUGACAUCCCCAAAAUCACGGCCAGAAAAGACCGAUUUGUUUAUGCUUUGUUUAAAAAUCAGAGUUACAUUUUAAAUGAAAGUGUUGCGGAAUUUGUCCCAAAACAAAAAUAUGAUAAAGAUUUAUCAAAAGCAUUUCCAUAGAAAUGUAUUUCAUUAAAAGACUCGGGAUGUCAUGUUCGUACAGAUCAAAAGCAUAAACAGUACAAUAUAAGCCUUACUACAUUAUUUCAUAUCUACAGGCCUAUAUCCGUAAUCCCUCGUCCAAAACAUCACACCUAUGCUCAUGCGCCACUACCUGUAAUACAUAAAACUGAGUGGGUCAGGCUUGGGAGCCUGGUGAGCACAUAGGGUUUUCAACCCACAAUAAAUAAGUUUAUUAAUUUCAUCGAUCAACAAUAACCCGAUUACCCGUUCCCGUUAUCCUCACUUUACGUCCCUAAACACCUAUCAUAAGGGACCUAGCCUAAGGAUCAUCAUCGGGACGGACACUACUGCUAAGGGGAUUCCUCAGCAAUAAAUGUCCUAAAGGCAACCAUGUGGGGGAUGGAGUACACCGGUGAACAUAUCGUUCACAAACACCUACAGGUUGCGAGCCUGCU